rnacentral:rRNA from 1 species
AUGACGAACAUGGCUUCAACGACAGCGUGUCUCGCAGAGACGGGCUACGGCUCGGCGGUGCAGUACGGUGAUCGAUUACAAGAACCUUUGAAACAGCACACUGGACAACACAACCCAUGCUCCCCAAUUGAUUCACAGGCUAUCAGAUCGGCUGAUUGCAAUGGCAAAGAUAGAGCGGAGCAGUCAAGGCUGAGGAAUGAGGAGCAGAGAGCCAAGCGGUGGAGAAAAAUAAAGAUGAACGAGGAUAGACGUAGCAAUGAAUGGAUAAGAAGGCAGAAAGGAUAA